rnacentral:rRNA from 1 species
AAACAUCGCCUCCUGCAACAUCCCGUAUAGGAGGUCUUGCCUGCCCAGUGAUAUAUUAAACGGCCGCGGUAUUUUGACCGUGCGAAGGUAGCGCAAUCACUUGUCUUUUAAAUGAAGACCUGUAUGAAUGGUAGAACGAGGGCUUAACUGUCUCCCUUUUUAAGUUAAUGAAAUUGAUCUGCCCGUGCAGAAGCGGGCAUAAAUAUACAAGACGAGAAGACCCUUUGGAGCUUAAGAUACAGAACCAAAUAUGUAAAAAAUUUAUACAAAAUAAAUUAAACCAAAUUAUUACUGGUCCCUAUCUUCGGUUGGGGCGACCACGGGAGAAAAAAAAGCUCCCAUGCGGACCGGGGCUACCCCCCCUACAGCCAAGAAAGACAUUUCUAAGCAACAGAACAUCUGACCACGCAGAUCCGGCUUUGCCGAUCAACGGACCAAGUUACCCAAGGGAUAACAGCGCAAUCCUCUUCAAGAGCCCAUAUCGACAAGAGGGUUUACGACCUCGAUGUUGGAUCAGGACAUCCUAAUGGUGCAGCCGCUAUUAAGGGUUCGUUUGUUCAACGAUUAAAGUCCUACGUGAU